UACGUAGGGACUAAGCGUUGUUCGGAUUUACUGGGCGUAAAGGGCGCGUAGGCGGCAAAUUAAGUCAUCUGUGAGAUCUCCGAGCUUAACUCGGAACGGUCAGGUGAUACUGAUCUGCUAGAGUGCGGAAGGGGCAAUCGGAAUUCUUGGUGUAGCGGUGAAAUGCGUAGAUAUCAAGAGGAACACCUGAGGUGAAGACGGGUUGCUGGGCCGACACUGACGCUGACAGCGCGAAGCCAGGGAGGCAAACGGG
rnacentral:rRNA from 1 species